GCUAGUAUGAUGGGUUGUGCGUAUGAUUAGAUAGUUGGCGAGGUAACGGCUCACCAAGUCUACGAUCAUUAGCUGAUGUGAGAGCAUGAUCAGCCACACGGGCACUGAGACACGGGCCCGACUCCUACGGGAGGCAGCAGUAAGGAAUAUUGGUCAAUGGACGAAAGUCUGAACCAGCCAUGCCGCGUGAAGGAUUAAGGUCCUCUGGAUUGUAAACUUCUUUUAUAUGGGACGAAAAAAGGUCUUUCUAGAUCACUUGACGGUACCAUAUGAAUAAGCACCGGCUAACUCCGUGCCAGCAGCCGCGGUAAUACGGAGGGUGCAAGCGUUAUCCGGAUUCACUGGGUUUAAAGGGUGCGUAGGCGGGCAGGUAAGUCAGUGGUGAAAUCCUGGAGCUCAACUCCAGAACUGCCAUUGAUACUAUCUGUCUUGAAUAUUGUGGAGGUAAGCGGAAUAUGUCAUGUAGCGGUGAAAUGCUUAGAUAUGACAUAGAACACCCAUUGCGAAGGCCAGCUUACUACGCAUAUAUU
rnacentral:rRNA from 1 species